ACCUGGUUGAUCCUGCCAGGGGCGACCGCUUUUGGAGUUCGAUUAAGCCAUGCGAGUAGAAUGAAUUAGAUCAUUGCGAACUGCCCAGUAACACGUGGAUAACCUGCCCUAUGCUCUGGGAUAACCUUGGGAAACUGAGAAUAAUACCGGAUAGAUCACAACGCCUGGAACGGUGUGUGGUUGAAAGGUCACGGCAUAGGAUGGGUCUGCGGCGUAUCGGGUCGUAGGGGGCGUAAUGGACCUCCUAGCCAUCGACGCGUACGGGUUGUGGGAGCAAUAGCCCGGAGAUGGAUUCUGAGACACGAAUCCAGACCCUACGGGGUGCAGCAGGCGCGAAAACUUCACACUGCAAGAAACUGUGAUGAGGGAACUCCAAGUGACUACACAUUUGUGUAGCUCUUUUCUUAACUAUUAAUCGGUUUUGGAAUAAGGGCUGGGAAAGACCGGUGCCAGCCGCCGCGGUAAUACCGGCAGCUCAAGUGGUCGUCGCUUUUAUUGGGCCUAAAACGUCCGUAGCCUGUUUGGUAAAUCUGUGGGUAAAUCAACCAGCUUAACUGGUUGAAUUCUGCAGAGACUGCCAGACUAGGGACCGGGAGAG
rnacentral:rRNA from 1 species